UUAGAUGAGUAAGACCGGACGCGUGGUGUACAACUCGCAUGCAGAUAACCGACGCGGCGUGAUUGCAAUGCGAGACCUCCCCGGCUAUGGUAUAAAUGCCAUCACAUUUCAAACGAACGUGUCUCGAAUGUAUCAUCACUGGACUGUGUGCAACCAUCGUGGGCGUAUUCUACAAUGCCAUUUCGACUGGCAGUAAACCCAUCAAUUUAUGCUAUCGAAAUCAUUAGCGAUGAACUGCGAAUUCAACAAAGAUCAAUCGUGUCAAUAUGAAUUAGCGUUGUUAAAUGUCAUAAUCAUACCAUACACAUAUUUUGUGUUUAAUUAGAAGAAACAAAGAAUCUGUAUGAAUUGCACAAUUUUAGCUUUAUAGGUCCUGUUUCAUCUGGGCGUUAAUAAAUCUGAAUGUCAAAACACGUAAAUUAAGUGUAUAGAUAGACCAUUUAUUAAAUUGUACAAAUUUAUUGAAAUAUUUACAUUAAGGAGUGGGUGGCAUGGCGAGGCUGUCGCUGCCACAACGCCUUUGUGUGAAACCUCCGUUAUUGUGUCAAAUCGAUUUCUAGUGUUUAUAAUACGAGCUUCGCAGUACUGUGGCAUCUUCGCAUUGAGCAACCGAAUGUUCAAGGCGAGCUACAUAUUAAAAAUUUAAACAAUAUUUACGCAUGUUUCGACACCGACACCUUGGCGCGAACUGACCACAUCAGAGUGUGUAGUAAAUCCGAAUGUGAUCGUCGUUCCGAGGCCGUUUCGCAUUAAAGGAACAAAGGGUUGACUCACGUCCGGACUAUAGUCGUCGGAGAAAGGAGACGGGUUAAAAAUAGAACAUGGCGUUUAAGAGUCCAGUGGUCGCUUGCGACUGCCAUUAACGCUUUCGUAUUGUUUAUUAGUAUAGUUUGAAAAUCAAAAAAGUUUCAAAAUCCGAAAGUUACUUUUUGUUUUUCUUCGAUUUACUUUAUAAGUUAUUAAUUUAUUAGGUAAAUGAAGUGAAAUCAAUUUAAUUAAUACGAUAAGGAUUAUAAUAGUACCGCUGGGAAGGAAAUUGAUAACGACAUAAAUCACAUUAUGUAUUGCAAUGCAAUUCAACAGUAAGAUCGACUUACUCAGUUGUACGCCGGAUCUUUUCAGUGGGUCGCGAUUCCGAUCCGGCGGAGAAUUCAGGCAAAGCACUUCUCUUGCUAGGCCUAGUGUUAGCAAUUAAGGUUGAGCCCGUGAGCUCAUCUACCAGUCCGGUUAGUUAGGUAGAGAAAAAAAUAGAUCGAUAAAUAUAAUAAUAUUAAUAAUAACUUCGCACAAACAACCGUACCAGCCAGCAACUAUACUCUGACGGGCAUUGUUUGCGCUGCACUUAAAGGUUUCCGCAACGUCUGGUUAGGAAACCACCACGACAGCUGAGGACGACGCCAAAACAGGCUCUUUGAGAAACCUUUCCAGUUUAGAUUACGAAAACAGUGGAAAGCUUGUACUACAAAUUUGCAUGAAUCUAUGCACAGAUAAUUCUAUUAGAAUUGAAUCUUAUUAAUACAAUAAAUAAAGAACUCCAUGAAUUAAAGAAAACUAAAGUGCUUUACGUUCUAUAUUAUUGUAAAAUAUUCCAACUUAAUUCCCUAAUUUUAAAAUUUAUUUCAGUACAGAGAACGUAUAUAUAAUUUUAAAGACUAUAUAUAAAUGUUGAUAUUAUGAUGUCAGAACGUCUUAGCUUUAUAACAGGCUGGUAUAACAAUCAGUCUUUUAUCAGAACACGUGGUGUGCUAAUCGAAUCGCAUGACACUUUCCAGUUCUAGAGUAAACUUUACAAUCAUUUUUAAGUCUAACUGAAUUUAUUCAAUUACUAUAUUUUCAGGAGAAUAAGGUCCGGGAAAAACCCAGAAAACUUGGCCUCAAAAAAAAAGGUUAAAUAUAUUUACUUGCGGACA